AGUGAACGCUGGCGGUAGGCCUAACACAUGCAAGUCGAACGGCAGCACAGUAAGAGCUUGCUCUUACGGGUGGCGAGUGGCGGACGGGUGAGGAAUACAUCGGAAUCUACUUUUUCGUGGGGGAUAACGUAGGGAAACUUACGCUAAUACCGCAUACGACCUACGGGUGAAAGCAGGGGAUCUUCGGACCUUGCGCGAUUGAAUGAGCCGAUGUCGGAUUAGCUAGUUGGCGGGGUAAAGGCCCACCAAGGCGACGAUCCGUAGCUGGUGUGAGAGGAUGAUCAGCCACACUGGAACUGAGACACGGUCCAGACUCCUACGGGAGGCAGCAGUGGGGAAUAUUGGACAAUGGGCGCAAGCCUGAUCCAGCCAUACCGCGUGGGUGAAGAAGGCCUUCGGGUUGUAAAGCCCUUUUGUUGGGAAAGAAAAGCGGCAGGUUAAUACCCCGCUGUUCUGACGGUACCCAAAGAAUAAGCACCGGCUAACUUCGUG
rnacentral:rRNA from 1 species